rnacentral:rRNA from 1 species
CCUACGGGCGGCAGCAGUGGGGAAUAUUGGACAAUGGGGGCAACCCUGAUCCAGCCAUGCCGCGUGUGUGAAGAAGGCCCUCGGGUUGUAAAGCACUUUCAGUGAGGAAGAACGCCUGGUGGUUAAUACCCAUCAGGAAAGACAUCACUCACAGAAGAAGCACCGGCUAACUCCGUGCCAGCAGCCGCGGUAAUACGGAGGGUGCGAGCGUUAAUCGGAAUUACUGGGCGUAAAGCGCGCGUAGGUGGCUUGAUAAGCCGGUUGUGAAAGCCCCGGGCUCAACCUGGGAACGGCAUCCGGAACUGUCAAGCUAGAGUGCAGGAGAGGAAGGUAGAAUUCCCGGUGUAGCGGUGAAAUGCGUAGAGAUCGGGAGGAAUACCAGUGGCGAAGGCGGCCUUCUGGACUGACACUGACACUGAGGUGCGAAAGCGUGGGUAGCAAACAGGAUUAGAUACACUGGUAGUC